AUUGAAACAUUGGUUCCCCCUGUAUGAUCACCGAAGUUAAUCAAUGUUGGGCCUGGUCACUACCUAGAUGGGUGACCACUUGGGAAUAUCAGGUGAUGUAAG